rnacentral:lncRNA from 1 species
ACAUGAUUUUGACAUCAUUCAUAAUGAAAUCAUAAAAUCAUUAGACAAUAGUGACAAUCACUAAAAUGAUAUUGUUGGAAUUGAAAGUAAGCUCGAUGAUUCCUAAAAUUAAGAUUGGAAUAUAACUUUCAACUCCAAUGUUCAGGAAUCUCUUACUAUUUUUAAACUUUCUACUAAUCUGAAGUUGUUGCAAUAGUUUGCAUAGACUUUUGAUAUCCAAUAUCUAGGC